rnacentral:tRNA from 2 species
UGGGGUGUAGCCAAGUGGUAAGGCAGCGGCCUUUGGAGCCGCCAUCGCUGGUUCGAAUCCAGCCACCCCAGCCA